ACGCCUGGGGGGGAAACCCACGACCAGUGCAACAGAGAGCAAACCGCCGAUGGCCCACGUAAGUGGGAUCAGGUAAGGGUGAAAGGGUGCGGUAAGAGCGCACCGCGCGGCUGGUAACAGUCCGUGGCACGGUAAACUCCACCCGGAGCAAGGCCAAAUAGGGGUUCAUAAGGUACGGCCCGUACUGAACCCGGGUAGGCUGCUUGAGCCAGUGAGCGAUUGCUGGCCUAGAUGAAUGACUGUCCACGACAGAACCCGGCUUAUCGGUCAGUUUCACUU
rnacentral:RNase_P_RNA from 1 species